rnacentral:rRNA from 1 species
GACGAACGCUGGCGGCGUGCCUAACACAUGCAAGUCGAGCGGGGUCCAACCAGUGGCAACACUGGGGAAGACCUAGCGGCGAACGGGUGAGUAACACGUGAGAAACUUGCCCCGGAGUUCGGGAUAACCCGAGGAAACUCGAGCUAAUACCGAAUGCCCUCUUCUGGUCGCAUGGCCAGCUGAGGAAAGAUUCAUCGCUCCGGGAGAGUCUCACGGCCUAUCAGCUAGUUGGUGGGGUAACGGCCCACCAAGGCAUCGACGGGUAGCUGGUCUGAGAGGACGAUCAGCCACACUGGGACUGAGACACGGCCCAGACUCCUACGGGAGGCAGCAGUGGGGAAUCUUGCGAAAUGGGCGAAAGCCUGACGCAGCAACGCCGCGUGCGGGAUGAAGGCCUUCGGGUUGUAAACCGCUUUAAGCAGGGACGAUUAUGACGGUACCUGCAGAAGAAGUCCCGGCCAACUACGUGCCAGCAGCCGCCGUAAUAC